CCUACGGGUGGCAGCAGUGAGGAAUAUUGGUCAAUGGACGAGAGUCUGAACCAGCCAAGUAGCGUGAAGGAUGACUGCCCUAUGGGUUGUAAACUUCUUUUAUAUGGGAAUAAAAUGUUCCACGUGUGGGAUUUUGUAUGUACCAUAUGAAUAAGGAUCGGCUAACUCCGUGCCAGCAGCCGCGGUAAUACGGAGGAUCCGAGCGUUAUCCGGAUUUAUUGGGUUUAAAGGGAGCGUAGGUGGAUUGUUAAGUCAGUUGUGAAAGUUUGCGGGUGAACCGUAAAAUUGCAGUUGAAACUGGCAGUCUUGAGUACAGUAGAGGUGGGCGGAAUUCGUGGUGUAGCGGUGAAAUGCUUAGAUAUCACGAAGAACUCCGAUUGCGAAGGCAGUUCACUGGACUGCAACUGACACUGAGGCUCGAAAGUGUGGGUAUCAAACAGGAUUAGAUACCCCAGUAGUC
rnacentral:rRNA from 1 species